GAGGGUAUAGUUCAGUAGUAGAGUCUGUGACUAGCAUGCAGGAGGUCCUGGGUUCAAUCCCCAGUAUCUCCA
rnacentral:tRNA from 1 species